rnacentral:tRNA from 1 species
GCCGGGAUGGUGGAAUUGGUAUACACGCACGACUUAAAAUCGUGUGCCUUACGGCUUGAGGGUUCGAGUCCCUCUCCCGGCACCA